AGAGUUUGAUCAUGGCUCAGGAUGAACGUUGGCGGUGUGCCUAAUACAUGCAAGUCGAACGGAGUUAGUAGGCAAUAACUGGCUCAGUGGCGAACGGGUGAGUAACGCGUUGGUGAUCUGCCUUGAAGUGUGGAAUAACGUUUCGAAAGGAACGCUAAUACCGCAUGUGCUCUCGAUUUUCAGAAAGUUGAGAGUAAAGGAUUUAUUCGCCUCAAGAGGAGCCUGCGUCCCAUCAGCUGGUUGGUAGGGUAACGGCCUACCAAGGCUAUGACGGGUAGGGGACCUGAGAGGGUGGCCCCCCACAAUGGAACUGAAACACGGUCCAUACACCUACGGGUGGCAGCAGUAGGGAAUAUUAGAAAUGGACGAAAGUCUGAUCUAGCAACACCGCGUGUGCGAAGAAGGCCUUCGGGUCGUAAAGCACUUUUUGGAAGGAAUAGGAAGGAAUGUACUUCCAGAAUAAGUCUCGGCUAACUACGUGCCAGCAGCCGCGGUAAA
rnacentral:rRNA from 1 species